ACCUCACUAGUUGAUCCCAAGGACUUGAAAACUGGGAUGCUGUGGGUCUUGUAGCCCUCUCACUGGGGAAAGCGAUACCCAUUUCUGAUUAUUUAGCUAAGAGUUAGCGGAUAAUGCCUGAAGGACCCAGGAGAGCUGAGAGCCCAGCGUAGGACACUCCCAUUUUCCUCUGAACCAUCAUGGAAAUGUCAGGUCCCUGGUCCAAGUCUGAGAGGUCAUCUGUCUGGGGAGGGAUGAACUCACUGGUUUGGACAAGGGCAGGCCACUUAACUGGUUGAGGCCUAAGACUCCAUCCUUCACCCAGAGGCACUUCAACACCUGGGCAGCCCCAGCAUGCACCUGCUAAAUCAAACAUCAAAAUAACACCUCAGAAAAAUCCAUCAUUGGAAGCACAGCCCUUACAAGUAGGCCAGGAGCCCUUGCUAAAUGGAAACGGUGUCUGCCUACUGAAAUACGAGACGUAACUAUGAACCAGUCUCCAAACAAAGCACACAACGUUCCCAGAGCACAAUUGAACACCACUCACUGUGAAUCAACCCAGAAGCAGAAGAAUUGCCUCUUGAGUAAGAAAAAAAGACCGUGAACUCACCUGGAGAUGGGACUUGCCAGGUGGCACUGGAGGAGUGUGGCCGGAUGCUGUUUAUCACAGAAAAUGAAAAACACAGAAAAACACCAAAAGAAAAGUCCCCUGUAACUCUACUGUGCAAAGA
ensembl:lncRNA